CCUACGGGAGGCUGCAGUGAGGAAUAUUGGUCAAUGGACGCAAGUCUGAACCAGCCAUGCCGCGUGCAGGAAGACGGCUCUAUGAGUUGUAAACUGCUUUUGUACGGGGGUAAAUCCCGAUACGUGUAUCUGUUUGAAAGUAUCGUACGAAUAAGGAUCGGCUAACUCCGUGCCAGCAGCCGCGGUAAUACGGAGGAUUCAAGCGUUAUCCGGAUUUAUUGGGUUUAAAGGGUGCGUAGGCGGUGGGAUAAGUUAGAGGUGAAAUCCCGGGGCUCAACUCCGGAACUGCCUCUGAUACUGGCGGGCUAGAGUUUAGGUGCGGUAGGCGGAAUGUAUGGUGUAGCGGUGAAAUG
rnacentral:rRNA from 1 species